GCUAGCUCAGUCGGUAGAGCAUGAGACU
rnacentral:piRNA from 10 species